CUGGUUGAUUCUGCCAGUAGUCAUAUGCUUGUCUCAAAGAUUAAGCCAUGCAUGUCUAAGUAUAAGCAAUUAUACAGCGAAACUGCGAAUGGCUCAUUAUAUAAGUUAUCGUUUAUUUGAUAGUACCUUACUACUUGGAUAACCGUGGUAAUUCUAGAGCUAAUACAUGCUAAAAAUCCCGACUUCGGAAGGGAUGUAUUUAUUAGAUUAAAAACCAAUGCCCUUCGGGGCUCACUGGUGAUUCAUGAUAACUCCUCGAAUCGCAUGGCCUUGUGCCGGCGAUGGUUCAUUCAAAUUUCUUCCCUAUCAACUUUCGAUGUUUGGGUAUUGGCCAAACAUGGUUGCAACGGGUAACGGAGGGUUAGGGCUCGACCCCGGAGAAGGAGCCUGAGAAACGGCUACUACAUCCAAGGAAGGCAGCAGGCGCGCAAAUUACCCAAUCCCGACACGGGGAGGUAGUGACAAUAAAUACUGAUACAGGGCUCUUUUGGGUCUUGUAAUUGGAAUGAGUACAAUUUAAAUCCCUUAACGAGGAACAAUUGGAGGGCAAGUCUGGUGCCAGCAGCCGCGGUAAUUCCAGCUCCAAUAGCGUAUAUU
rnacentral:ncRNA from 1 species